rnacentral:misc_RNA from 1 species
GGAGUUAUCCUUCCUGGCCCGGGCUAUGUAAACAAAAAUUGCCAGUCUCAUGAGUCUGCGUCCAAACAAGCAACAUGAUUAGUGACAGCGACGAAGACGAUGUUUGUGUGACAGAAAAAUACAUUAAAGAUAAUGAUACAUUGAAGAAAUAUGGCUGGGCAGACUUGCCCCUGAGACAGUAUCAGCUAUCAGGAGUAAACUGGCUGAUCCACUGCACCAAAAAAGGACAUGGAGCUAUUCUGGGAGAUGAAAUGGGCUUGGGAAAAACCUGUCAGACAAUAGCAUUUCUGUCAUACUUAAAGAAGGCAAAUCGUCAAAACCUGGUUGUCUGUCCACGGUCUGUGCUGGAAAAUUGGGCUGAGGAGUUUAAGAGAUUUUCCUCUUCCCUUAAGAUACAAACUUAUAUGGGAGACAAGGAUAAGCGAGCUGAGUUAGCGUCCAGUAUAAAGCAUGACCUGAAAAAAGGAAGGGAACCCUUUCACAUCCUUCUCACCACAUAUGAGUUGUGCUUGAAGGAUGACGCCUUCUUGUCCUCCAUACCGUGGGGUGCUAUGAUUGUUGACGAGGCUCAUCGUCUGAAGAACAGUGAAUCCCUGCUAUAUCGAACACUAGCUGAUUGGGACAUUGACUACAGAAUUCUGCUGACGGGGACCCCUGUACAGAACAAUCUGGAUGAACUCUACUCCUUACUAAGCUUUGUGGCUCCACGAAAGUUCCGAUUGUCUGGACAGGAAAAGUUUGUGAGGAAGUUCAAAGACAUCACCAACAACAAAGGUGCCUCUGAACUGCAUGAUUUGAUCAAACCAUAUCUUUUACGCCGAACAAAGGAGGUCGUUUUGAAAGACUUGCCCAAGAAGUCAGAUCUUGUGAUGUACCAUGGCAUAUCCAAAGUUCAGAAAAAGCUCUACAAAGCCCUUCUUACAAAAGAUAUUAGUGUUUUUGACACAAAUCGACCGGGUGGAAGUUCCCCUUCACUCAUGAACAUUCUUAUGCAGCUCAGGAAAUGUGUCAAUCAUCCCUAUUUGUUUGAUGGGAUUGAACCUGAACCGUUUGAGCUGGGUGAACACCUGGUGGAGGCCAGUGGUAAACUUGUUCUGAUUGAUCGACUGUUGAACUACCUAAAGACCACCGGUCACAAAGUCCUCAUGUUUUCUCAGAUGACCCACAUGUUAGACAUACUACAGGAUUACCUAGGAUACAGAGAGUAUAGCUAUGAGCGUUUGGACGGCUCGGUCCGUGGUGAGGAGCGAUUUCUAGCCGUCCAGAACUUCAACAAGAACUCAGACACAUUUGUGUUUCUGCUGAGUACCAAGGCAGGGGGCCAGGGUCUGAAUCUGGUGGCAGCAGACACAGUCAUUUUUGUGGACAGCGACUUUAACCCUCAGAAUGACCUUCAGGCGGCCGCUCGGGCCCACAGAAUAGGCCAAACUAGGCCGGUAAGGGUGAUUCGUUUGAUUGGGAGGAACACAGUCGAGGAGAUAAUUCUGAAGCGUGCCGAGGACAAACUGAAACUGACGGAAAAAGUUAUAGAGGAAGGCGAGUUCUCUCUGGGCCUCAACAAACAGUCUCUGUUUACUGACAAGCAUGUCCCCAUGCAAGACAUUCUUAAGUUUGGAGUCGACACCUUGUUAAAUGAUGAUGACUCAACAGAUGCCGACAUAGACUUUGUAAAAAUUCUGGGUCCCUCGGUCAAUGGAGAAUGGCAGCUGGAUGAAGAGGCCUCAACCAGUAACGACCAAGAGAAUGAUGAGGAAUUGGAAGAGGGGCCUGCCAGUAUGUACGAGUUUGAGGGAGUGGAUUAUGCCAAGGAACCUUCGGCAGCAGACAAAAAGGCAUUUGAUGACCUUUUGUCAAUGGAGCAGCUUAUCCUGGAGGAGGAGGUGUCCGGAGAGAGGUCGCAGAGGAAGAAAAAGUCUGUGGUGCUCCCAGGUCUUCUACCCGAGACCUCGAGGAGGACUAAGAAACCCCUCACCCCAGAGGAGAUUGAGGAGAGGAAUAGAAAGAGGAAAGAGACUUUAGAAAGAAAAGCCAAAGAGGCAGAGGAGCGAGCCAGGAAGAAAGCUGAGCAACAGAAAAGAAAACUUGAGGAGCUGUGGAAGGCCAACAGUUAUGUCUCCAGCUGUGUGAGGUUUGACAGCGAUGAUGAGCAAUCGGAGGAUGAGGGCGAUGAAGAAAAUGGAGGAUUGAGGCUGGAAGAUGAGGCGGAUGAUGACAAGGGACAAACUAGUCGAGCCAUCCAUUAUGUCAGCGGGGAUGUUACGCAACCUAUAAAGACCAAAACCAGUGUGAACCUCAUUGUCCACUGUGCAGAUGAUUCUGGAUGGUGGGGUAAAGGUGGUGUCUUCACAGCAAUAUCCAAACGAUGCCAUGCUGUUGAAGAGCAGUAUGAAUUGGCAGCUAAAAUGAAAGGUAUGCAUAUGUAUGAACAGAGUUUAUUUUACUGGUACUGGCAGUCCUUAACUGAUUUUUGAUGAAUAUUUUGUUGUUGUGUUUCAGACAUGAAUGUCGGGGAUUGUCACCUCAUUUCAUUUGAUGAUGAAGGCAGCUCAAAAGAUGUAGAAAAUUGGAUCUGUGUACUUAUUGCCCAGCACAGAGACAAGCGGAACAACUCCCUGUCUGGAAUCAAACUGUCAGCUCUAAACGAAGGGCUAAAGAUGGUGUACAAAUUGGCAAAGGCUCGAAAAGUGUCCAUCUGCCACGUAUUGGCCAUGACACUCCCGGAUUUAACUGGUACGGAACAGAGAGGCUGAUCAGGAAGCACCUGUCAUCUCGGGGAAUCCCCACAUACAUCUAUUAUUAUCCCAGAAGACAGAAGGGAGUCAAGAGGAAGAAUGAAGACACAGCAGCACAGGACACACCCUCUAAGGAGAAGAAAAUAGAAUCUACAAGCACUUCUAUAAAUGGCAGCAGUAGCAGAAGUUUGUUGGACAUAUUUACUGGUACCUGUAUCUACGUACAUCCCUCCAACUUCCCGUCUGAUAAGCUGAAACAGUACAGAAGACAGAUUAUUGCUUAUGAUGGAGAGGUUUCCAAAGAGUUUUCUUCAAAAGUAACCCAUGUUAUUGCUGAUCCUAACUGUGAAAAGACUGCUGAAGCAUGGCUGAAAUCCAAUGUCAAGUGUCCAGUUCUCACUCCUGAUUGGUUAGAUUGUUGUCUACAGAGGAGAAAACUCGUCCCAACUCAGACUUAUGUUCAUCCAUCUUGUGACAAAACUUGAAGACUUUUAAUCUCUUACUUUCUCUGUCAGUUCUGACUAAGAAGUCAAUUGUUAGACUAUUGUUAGUAUUAAUGACAGUGUAAACUAGACUCUGUCCUAAAAACUCAAUACUUGUACUGUGAUAAAAAAAAACUGUGGCACCAUAAUAUGUACCUUUUAUAUAGUUAUGAUUACAGCAAUCUGAUGUGCACGCUUUAGUUGUGCAGUCUGAUCCCAGGGUAAUUUUAGAUCUGUUUAGAAUGUAACAAAUUUUUACAUGCAUAUUAUUGUUUGGUUUGAAACCACUUGUGUAUUUGUUGUAGAAUUGAGAUUGAGGUUAUCAUGUUCAAAACUAUUCAAAAGUUGAAUAAAGAUUUACUUUAGAG